AUAUAUUUAAACCCAUGAAUGGGAAUUUCCCCCUUCCUUGGUUCCACUGUAAUGUGAAAGAAUUCCUGGCUCUUGUGUUGCAGAGCUGACUUUGUGUUACUCUGCUGUUGCUGUACAGAGUGAGGGAACAUAC
ensembl:snoRNA